AAGCUCGUAGUUGGAUCUAGGGACGCGCAUUUCAAGCGCCCGUGCCGUCGGGUCAAACCGGCGGCUGCGUUGGCGUUGCGGGCUCGGUCCGUCGGUGCCCCACAAAGGGCUAUCGGCGUGUCAACCGGCCCGCCCGUCCCCUCCUUCUGGAUUCCCGUUCCUGCUAUUGAGUUAGUGGGGACGUCACAGGGGGCUCAUCGUCGUCGUGCAAACGGCGGCGGUGGGUCCCUGGGGCCCAGAUCGUUUACCGUGAAAAAAUUAGAGUGUUCAAAGCAGGCAGAUCCAAUUUUCUGCCACCGAAUACAUUAGCAUGGGAUAAUGGAAUAGGACCCUGUCCUCCUAUUUUCAGUUGGUUUUGGCAGCGCGAGGACUAGGGUAAUGAUUAAUAGGGAUAGUUGGGGGCAUUAAUAUUUAAUUGUCAGAGGUGAAAUUCUUGGAUUUAUGAAAGAUUAACUUCUGCGAAAGCAUCUGCCAAGGAUGUUUUCAUUAAUCAAGAACGAAAGUUAGGGGAUCGAAGACGAUCAGAUACCGUCGUAGUCUUAACCAUAAACGAUGCCGACCAGCGAUUAGGAGACGUUGAAUACAAAACACCACCAUCGGUGCGGUCGUCCUUGGCGUCGGUCUUUCGGGGCCGGCGCGGGGACGGCUUAGCCCGGUGGCACCGGUGAAUGACUCCCCUAGCAGCUUGUGAGAAAUCAUAAGUCUUUGGGUUCCGGGGGGAGUAUGGUCGCAAGGCUGAAACU
rnacentral:rRNA from 2 species